rnacentral:rRNA from 1 species
CACGCCGUAAACGAUGAGUGCUAGGUGUCGGGGGUCAAACCUCGGUGCCGGAGCAAACGCAUUAAGCACUCCGCCUGGGGAGUACGUGCGCAAGCAUGAAACUCAAAGGAAUUGACGGGGACCCGCACAAGCAGCGGAGCAUGUGGUUUAAUUCGAAGCAACGCGAAGAACCUUACCAGGGCUUGACAUGCCCCUGACCGCUCUAGAGAUAGGGCCUUCCCUUCGGGGACAGGGGACACAGGUGG